UACGUAGGGGGCAAGCGUUGUCCGGAAUCAUUGGGCGUAAAGCGCGUGUAGGCGGCCCGGUAAGUCCGCUGUGAAAGUCGAGGGCUCAACCCUCGAAAGCCGGUGGAUACUGUCGGGCUCGAGUGCGGGAGAGGCGAGUGGAAUUCCUGGUGUAGCGGUGAAAUGCGCAGAUAUCAGGAGGAACACCGAUUGCGAAGGCAGCUCGCUGGAACGUAACUGACGCUGAGACGCGAAAGCGUGGGGAGCAAACAGG
rnacentral:rRNA from 1 species